AAGGGAGACCUAAUUCAGGUAUGGGACGAAAAAAAAGUAGUCGCUACCAAGAAUCAAUCCCAAAAGGUCGGAGCGAGGCGAAAUUGGCUUUCAAACUAGGUUCUGGGUUCACACAAGACCUGAAUCAGGAACAAGGGCUAUUAGCUCAGGUGGUUAGAGCGCACCCCUGAUAAGGGUGAGGUCCCUGGUUCGAGUCCAGGAUGGCCCACCUGCACAGGUGGCAAAAACAAGAGAAGCUCCGAAUCAGCACCUUAUCUUACUUAUAUAGUAAGAGAGAAUGCUGGCUCUGAGUUCAGAGUCCAGAGGAACCUUGAAAACUGCAUAGAGCUAGGUGAAAAAGCCAAAAAAGAAGACCGCAUGCAA
rnacentral:tRNA from 1 species